rnacentral:rRNA from 1 species
GACGAACGCUGGCGGCGUGCCUAAUACAUGCAAGUCGAACGCACUCUCGUUUAGAUUGAAGGAGUUUGCUCCUGAUUGAUAAACAUUUGAGUGGGUGGCGGACGGGUGAGUAACACGUGGGUAACCUGCCCUAAAGUGGGGGAUAACAUUUGGAAACAGAUGCUAAUACCGCAUAAAACCUAACACCGCAUGGUGUAGGGUUGAAAGAUGGUUUCGGCUAUCACUUUAGGAUGGACCCGCGGUGCAUUAGUUAGUUGGUGAGGUAAAGGCUCACCAAGACCGUGAUGCAUAGCCGACCUGAGAGGGUAAUCGGCCACACUGGGACUGAGACACGGCCCAGACUCCUACGGGAGGCAGCAGUAGGGAAUCUUCCACAAUGGACGAAAGUCUGAUGGAGCAACGCCGCGUGAGUGAAGAAGGUUUUCGGAUCGUAAAACUCUGUUGUUGGAGAAGAAUGUAUCUGAUAGUAACUGAUCAGGUAGUGACGGUAUCCAACCAGAAAGCCACGGCUAACUACGUG